CCUACGGGCGGCAGCAGUGAGGAAUAUUGGUCAAUGGACGGAAGUCUGAACCAGCCAUGCCGCGUGCAUGAAGACGGCCCUAUGGGUUGUAAGCUGCUUUUGUACAGGGGUAAACCUUAAUGCUUGUAUUCAGAUGAAAGUACUUUACGAGUAAGAGUCGGCUAACGCCAUGCCGUCCGCCGCGGUAAUACGGAGGAUCCAAGCGUUAUCCGGAUUGAUUGGGUUUAAAGGGUGCGUAGGCGGAUUGAUAAGUUAGAGGUGAAAUGUCCGGGCUCAACUCGGGAACUGCAUUCAAUACUGUUGAUCUAGAGAGUAGAUGAGGUAGGCAGAAUGUAUGGUGUAGCGGUGAAAUGCUUAGAGAUCAUACAGAACACCGAUUGCGAAGGCAGCCCACCAAUCAAUAUCUGACGUUGAGGUACGAAAGCGUGGGGAGCAAACAGGAUUAGAUACCCGGGUAGUC
rnacentral:rRNA from 1 species